AAAAUACUCACUCCGUCCCAAAAUUCUUCUUUUAGAUUUAUCUAGAUACGGAUGUACCUAAUACUAAAACGUGACUUGAUUCAUUCGUAUUUAGACAAAUUUAAGACAAAAAUUUUGGGAUGGAGGAAGUAUUAC
rfam:Triticum aestivum genome assembly, contig: Triticum_aestivum_CS42_TGACv1_scaffold_093851_2AL